AUUGAACGCUGGCGGCAGGCCUAACACAUGCAAGUCGAGCGAGCGGCGGACGGGUGAGUGAUGUAUGGGGAUCUGCCUGAUGGAGGGGGAUAACUACUGGAACCGGUAGCUAAUACCGCAUACCAUCAGAUGAACCCAUAUGGGAUUAGCUAGUAGGUGAGGUACCGGCUCACCUAGGCGACGAUCCCUAGCUGGUCUGAGAGGAUGAUCAGCCACACCGGGACGGAGACACGGCCCAGACUCCUACGGGAGGCAGCAGUGGGGAAUAUUGGACAAUGGGCGCAAGUCUGAUGCAGCCAUGCCGCGUGUAUGAAGAAGGUCUUCGGGUUGUAAAGCACUUUUAGUCGGGAGGCGUUACCGACAGAAGAAGCACCGGCUAACUCCGUGCCAGCAGCCGCGGUAAUAC
rnacentral:rRNA from 1 species